CCUACGGGUGGCAGCAGUAGGGAAUUUUCGGCAAUGGGGGGAACCCUGACCGAGCAACGCCGCGUGAAGGAAGAAGGAAUUCGUUCUGUAAACCUCUGUUAUAAAGGAAGAAAGACGGAUGGAGGAAAUGACAUCCGAGUGACGGUAUCUUACGAGAAAGCCACGGCUAACUACGUGCCAGCAGCCGCGGUAAUACGUAGGUGGCAAGCGUUAUCCGGAAUUAUUGGGCGAAAAGAGGGGGCAGGCGGCUGCUAAGGUCUGUGGUGAAAGACUGAGGCUAAACGUCAGUAAGCCAUGGAAACCGGGCGACUUGAGUGCAGAAGAGGAUCGUGGAAUUCCAUGUGUAGCGGUGAAAUGCGUAGAUAUAUGGAGGAACACCAGUGGCGAAGGCGACGAUCUGGCCUGCAACUGACGCUCAGGCCCGAAAGCGUGGGGAGCAAAUAGGAUUAGAUACCCGGGUAGUC
rnacentral:rRNA from 1 species